rnacentral:tRNA from 1 species
UAGAGAAUAGUAUAGUGGGAGUACGGGGGGUUUUGAGCUCCCUGGCACAGGUUCGAACCCUGUUUUUCUA